CGCGUAGGCGGGCCAGCCAGUCUGUGGUGAAAGCCUCCAGCUUAACUGGAGAAGUGCCGUGGAUACUGCUGGCCUCGAGGAGGAUAGGGGCAUCUGGAACGGUCGGUGGAGCGGUGAAAUGCGUUGAUAUCGACCGGAACUCCGGUGGCGAAGGCGAGGUGCUGGGUCCUUUCUGACGCUGAUGCGCGAAAGCCAGGGGAGCAAACG
rnacentral:rRNA from 1 species